GAUUAAGUUAUUAAGGGCGCACGGUGGAUGCCUUGGCACUAGAAGCCGAUGAAGGACGUUACUAACGACGAUAUGCUUUGGGUAGCUGUAAGUAAGCGUUGAUCCAGAGAUUUCCGAAUGGGGGAA
rnacentral:rRNA from 1 species